ACUCCCGUAGCUCAUCAGGAUAGAGCGUCGGUUUCCUAAACCGAAGGUAGUGGGUUCGAGUCCCGCCGGGAGUA
rnacentral:tRNA from 1 species